AAACUGCUGUGGUAUACGAAUUCAUACCUAUGUGUUGACCGACUAUUUUUUGUAUUAUUCGGGAAACGAAAGAUUUCUGGCAGUAUGCAGGCCGUCUCACACGGAAGCAACUAAGUCAGGAACGAGUUACCCACCUGCUUCUAUGCGCGGGAUCAAUACAAAUCUUGAAUUACCGGUACCAAUACAGCAUUUUU
rnacentral:other from 1 species